GCGCCAGUGAGCGCCCAUGAGCGUCCGUCGGCGGCCUCCGGAGCCAAAGGUCACAGGUUCGAAUCCUGUCUGGCGCA
rnacentral:tRNA from 1 species